UCUCCGUAGGUGAACUUGCGGAGGGAUCAUUACUGAGUGAGGGCCUUCGGGCUCGACCUCCAACCCUUUUGUGAACCACCUCGUUGCUUCGGGGGCGACCCUGCCUUCGUGCGAGGCGCCCCCGGAGGCCUUCAAACACUGCAUCUUUGCGUCGGAGUUUAAGUAAAUUAAACAAAACUUUCAACAACGGAUCUCUUGGUUCUGGCAUCGAUGAAGAACGCAGC
rnacentral:misc_RNA from 1 species